rnacentral:rRNA from 1 species
AUACGUAGGUGGCGAGCGUUGUCCGGAUUUACUGGGCGUAAAGAGUGCGUAGGCGGAUGUUUAAGUGAGAUGUGAAAUACCCGAGCUCAACUUGGGUGCUGCAUUUCAAACUGGGCAUCUAGAGUGCAGGAGAGGAAAGCGGAAUUCCUAGUGUAGCGGUGAAAUGCGUAGAGAUUAGGAAGAACACCAGUGGCGAAGGCGGCUUUCUGGACUGUAACUGACGCUGAGGCACGAAGGCGUGGGGAGCAAACAGGAUUAGAUACCCUGGUAGUCCACGCCGUAAACGAUGGGUACUAGGUGUCGGGGGUCCAACCUCGGUGCCGCAGUAAACACAUUAAGUACCCCGCCUGGGGAGUACGGUCGCAAGAUUAAA